UACAGGGGUCCCAAGCGUUGUUCGGAUUCAUUGGGCGUAAAGGGUGCGUAGGCGGCGCGGUAAGUCGGGUGUGAAAUCUCGGGGCUUAACUCCGAAACUGCAUUCGAUACUGCCGUGCUUGAGGACUGGAGAGGAGACUGGAAUUUACGGUGUAGCGGUGAAAUGCGUAGAUAUCGUAAGGAAGACCAGUGGCGAAGGCGGGUCUCUGGACAGUUCCUGACGCUGAGGCACGAAGGCCAGGGGAGCAAACGGG
rnacentral:rRNA from 1 species